ACUCUCUCUUGGCCUUUUAUUGGGGGUAUUUCAUGAAACUACCUCCCAUGCACCGGCAGUAAGUCCAGCCAAGACGUCCCACUUCGCUCAAUACACAUGCCCCGACUAUCGGUCAUCCAGAUCCUCGGCUACAUGGUACUGCAUCAAGUUUUUGAAAGCUUAGACCCCAAGUUCUGGAUUUUGCUCAUCGUCCGAAAACAAGGUACAACAUUUAAACUAUCCCAAAUUUCCCAUAUGAUCGGUAUUUCCAUCAGACAUGAAUAAAAGGGACAAACCUCAAAACUUACAUAGAUUAUUGGUUUUUCUUUUCUGCAGCCGUUUCCUGGGGCCUGUCUGAUUUCAAACAACACAGUUAAGGAUAUUUGUCAUGGAGAAGACAAAUUAUGUAUACGAGAGGAUGCCCGAGCAGCUAUGGAUGGCUAGCACUAAUCGGCC
rnacentral:lncRNA from 1 species